UACAGAGGUCCCGAGCGUUGUUCGGAUUCAUUGGGCGUAAAGGGUGCGUAGGCGGCUUCCUAAGUUUGAUGUGAAAUCCUGGGGCUCAACCCUGGAACUGCAUUGAAUACUGGGAGGCUAGAGUACUGGAGAGGAAACUGGAAUUUACGGUGUAGCAGUGAAAUGCGUAGAGAUCGUAAGGAAGACCAGUGGCGAAGGCGAGUUUCUGGACAGUUACUGACGCUGAGGCGCGAAAGCCAGGGGAGCAAACGGG
rnacentral:rRNA from 1 species